rfam:Nematostella vectensis strain CH2 x CH6 NEMVEscaffold_3738_Cont46083, whole genome shotgun sequence.
GUUGCCGUGGCCGAGCGGUUAAGGCGUUGGACUAGAAAUCCAAUGGGAUCUUCCCGCGCAGGUUCGAAUCCUGCCGGCAACG